rfam:Folsomia candida strain VT population Fcan01_Sc014, whole genome shotgun sequence.
CAUCUCGGGUCUCCCUUCAAGUCGUAUAAAUCUUUCGCCUUUUACUAAAGAUUUCCGUGGGGGGGGACAUUCUAUGAGAAUUUAACAAUUUUUUGACAGCCUGCCUCCGGGUGGGCG